UGUUAGCAUCAAGAUAAUGCCUGCCAAUAGCAGUCUCUUGUGUUUCCAGCCAAGAGAAGCGGUCACUAUUACUGUCAAGUAGACAUAACAAGAAUAAACAAUUGUCUGAAUUUUGGGUUUCUCGCUUAGUACUCGGAUGUCCUCCUUACCGCAUUAUCAAAAUCCAUUUAGGGUGUGUCGAUUGAUGCGAAAGAUUUCCGGCUUCGACUAGAAACCAUUGGUACCGUAUUGAGUAGGAACGAUGAAAUUCGGACUACUGUAAAUCAUACAUGAACUACGAGAAAUCAUCUUCACGUCAGCCCAAGUAUAACUACAGCGUUUACGGUUGUCCUCUUCGUGUGAAGUACCACCAAACGUUUCUGCCAAGUCUGGACUUAUAUGAUAGAGACGCAGUAGUUGACUCGGUCGCGGCGGACUUCAUUUUGAUAGAUGAAUUGGGUAACUCAGGUUUAUCAUACACUCAUACUGCUAGAGAGGUGGGCUGCUUACGCACACCGGAAUGGUUGAAACAACUGCAAGCUCGUUCAACAGUAAAUUUCACUGUGCCAGCACAGGCAAGACUUUUUUUAAUUACCCAGUGAUUUCUUCAUUACUUGAUAUGCAGAAUCUGUUGGUAUAAUAGGGAUAUCAUUCUUGCUUCAACAGUUCAGUUGAUGUCAGCAGUGAUGACUAUCUCGAUGAAGCUUACCUUCUUCUCAACAGCUCAUCUCCAAACCGCUUGAGACUGUCUUCAGGAGAUGGACUUUACCUAUUCACAGCAAAGAUAAUUGCAAACGGCUACAGCUAUUGUAACCUUGAGACACGCUUUGCCGUCAAGAUUUAUGGCACUCCUUUUCGUUCUGUGGCUGGAUAUGCUGUAUUAGGUACUUGCUGUUUGGUUGGUAUCGGUGCUCUUAUCAUUGUUUACUACGUCCAACGACAUGAAAUAAGAAAGCGAUCAUCAGCAGACAAAGACAAGUAGGAAAAGAAGUAUCAUGGAGUGGAAGCGUUGCUUUGCCCACAUAUUCUAAAGGUUCACCGUACAGAAUGAGGAUUGACCUUUUAAGAUUAAGAUUGCAACACAUGAUCAUGCGGUAUGGAUUCUAGAAACUAGGUAGAUGGAUGUCAUAGGGAUCAAUCGCCUUAUUCAACUUCCUUCCACUGUCAGUAAGAAUUCGAUUUUCAGUGCUUGAAA